GGUGGAGUUUCACUCUUGUCGCCCAGGCUGGAGUGCAGUGGCGUGAUCUCAGCUCACUGCAACCUCCGCCUCCCAGGUUCAAGCGAUUCUCCUGCCUCAGCCUCCCAAGUAGCUGGGAUUACAGGCGCUCACCACCACGUCCGGCUACUUUUUGUAUUUUUAGUAGAGACGGGGUUUCACCACGUUGGCCAGACUGUUCUCGAACUCCUGACCUCAGGUGAUCCACCCGCCUUGGCCUCCCAAAGUGCUGGGAUUACAGGUGUGAGCCACCACGCCCAGCAACAAUGGUUUUGAAGAGCAGAAGGAGAAAUGAGGCUGUCUGAUCUUGCCCUCUCUCCCCACUUCCUCCUUCCUUCCCUGUUCCUGGCACUAGAUUCACUAGGAUUAGGGGAACUUGUAGCCAAGAAUAUAUAAAGAACUUCUAUAAAUCAAUAGGGAAAAGACCAAAAAAAGUCAUAGAAAAGCAAGCCAAUGAUUUGAGUAGGCAAAUUAGAGAAGUGGAAACCGAAAUGUCCAAUAAACAGGUGAAGAGUCAAGCUUAGCAGCUAUUAGGGAAAUGCAAGUUAAAACCAACUACCAUCCAGGUGCUGUGGCUCAUGCCACAAGGUUGGUUGAGUGUAAAUUGAAACAAUCAUUUUGGAGAGAAAUUUGGCAAUCUCUUGUAAUAUUAAAAGCUCUUUGACUCCUAGAUAUAUAUCCUAGAGAAGUUCCAGCAAAUGUGCACAAAGACAUAUAAAAGAUGCUUACUAUUUGUUAAUCUGGAAGUAACACAGGGGUCAUUAAUAGGGGGGUGGACAAAGAAAGUGUAUGUCACUAAUGAACUAGAUCUGUAUGUAACAGUAUUGUAUCAGUCAGGUGUGCCGCAAUAAUGCUGCAUGACAAAACACCCUAAAACUGACUUAUAACAACAGGCAUUUAAUUUUGGCUAGUAUGUCUGCAUCAGCUGGCCUGUAUUAGUCUGUUUUCACACUGGUGAUAAAGACACACCUGAAACUGGGGGGAAAAAAAAAGAUUUAAUUGGUCUUACAGUUCCACAAGGUUGAGGAGGUCUCAGAAUCAUGGCAGGAGGCAAAAGGCACUUCUUACAUGGCAGCGGCAAGAGAAAAAUGAAGAAGCAAAAGCAGAAAUCCCUGAUAAAUCCAACAGAUCUCUUGAGACGUAUUCACUAUCACAAGAAUAGCAUGGGAAAGACCAGCCCCCAUGAUUCAAUUACCUCCCCUGGUCCCUCCCACAACACAGGGGAAUUCUGGGAGAUACAAUUCAAGUUGAGAUUUGGGUGGGGGCACAGCCAAAUCAUAUCAUGGGGUUUGGCCAGUCUAGCCCAGGAUUGGCUCGACUUGGCUCGGGUCAUUUUGUGAUUAGUGUGCUCCUCACAUUUCACCUUUUCUGGGCCCAGUAGGCCAUCCAGGACAUGUGCAAGCCAGCGACACUAUGGGCAGCUCUGGGAGCCAGUUUAUAUACCAACUCCUGAUGGUACGUCCAGCCUGCUGCCCAGGAAGGAAGCCAGUGCUGGCACCUGGAAGGCGCCUGGCGUGUAUGGGAGCACCAAGAGCAUGGGGAGAUGCACUGCAGCAGGCAGCACAGACCUACAGUCUGUUAUCACAGUCUCGCUCUCUGUAAUAAGCAGGUUAAUAAGGUAAUAAGGAGGUUACAUUGCUGUUUGAAUUUGCUUUCCUUGACUAAGCAUCUCUUCAUGCUCAAAAGUCUUUUACAUGUCUUCUUCUGUGAAUUCUUUUGUGUCAUUUGCUCAUUUAUCUACUUGUAUGGUUUUUGCCUUGAAGAAAAUGUAAAUUUUAACUUAGUUAAAUGUAUAAAGUUUUAUCUUCAUAGCCUCUGGAUUUCUUUUUUUCUUUCUUCCCCUGAGAUAGACCUUCCCUAU
rnacentral:lncRNA from 10 species